GGUCAAGUUAUUAAGGGUGCAGGGCGGAUGCCUUGGCACUAGGAGCCGAUGAAGGACGUGAUAAGCUGCGAUAAGCUUCGGGGAGUUGCACGUAAACUUUGAUCCGAAGAUUUCCGAAUGAGGAAACUCACUUAGAGUAAUGUCUAAGUAUCAUUAAGUGAAUACAUAGCUUAAUGAGGGGAACUCAGGGAACUGAAACAUCUAAGUACCUGAAGGAAGAGAAAGAAAUUCGAUUCCGUAAGUAGCGGCGAGCGAACGCGGAUUAGCCCAAACCAAUAAAGUUUUCUUUAUUGGGGUUGCGGACAUAUCAUAACGAAGAGGUAUCGUAAUUGAAGAGGUUUGGAAAGACCCACCACAGAAGGUAAUAGUCCUGUAUGUUAAACGAGAAGACUUUAGAUAUGAUCCAGAGUACCACGGGACACGUGAAACCCUGUGGGAAGCAGGAGGGACCACCCUCCAAGGCUAAAUACUACCUAGUGACCGAUAGCGUAUAGUACCGUGAGGGAAAGGUGAAAAGAACCCCG
rnacentral:rRNA from 1 species